AGAACAUCCUCCGCUUCGAACCACUUUGUUCGGCUGGUUGGGGGGUAGCCAUGGAAUGCACGGCUUUGGUCUUCGGGAUUCGUUUCGGGCCAUCGAUUUCCAUCUGGGCUAGCGCCUUGCGAAUCUCGCCGUUCGUUUGGUCUUCAUCUCAUCUAAUCUCCUCAUUCUCAUCUCAUCUGCUCAUUCGUUGGUUCAGCCGUCUUCAAUCUUCUGUCCAACAUUCUUCUGAGAGAUUUUCGAUCUGCCACUUCUUCCAUCGUUUCUCUUCAGGCUGGACCAGCAGAUAUUUUCACCCACAAAUUGGUCUUCGCCUCUAUAUUAUGCACAAUCAAACAGAUCUGCCCCUAUAUAUGUGUUUAACUGAAAAAGGAUUGUAAUGUAUGAGUGGCAUGUGUUGAAUCUGUUUUGCUAAGUGUGGGAUCUGUUGAAUAUGUUUUGGUGUUUAUGCAUCUCUUGGAUCUGUUGAAUCUGGUGUGGCAUCUGUUGAAUGUAGCGCAUGUGGCACUAAUUACACAAAUUGUGUAAUGAUCUAUUGUUGUUAA